rnacentral:rRNA from 1 species
UACGUAGGGGGCAAGCGUUGUCCGGAAUCAUUGGGCGUAAAGCGCGUGUAGGCGGCCCGGUAAGUCCGCUGUGAAAGUCCAGGGCUCAACCCUGGAAUGCCGGUGGAUACUGUCGGGCUCGAGUCCGGAAGAGGCGAGUGGAAUUCCUGGUGUAGCGGUGAAAUGCGUAGAUAUCGGAAGGAACACCUGUGGCGAAAGCGGCUCACUGGACCAUAACUGACGCUGAGGCGCGAAAGCUAGGGGAGCAAACAGG